AUAUAUUUAAGUAGUUUAAUAAUUAUUUAAUGUUGAAAAUAUCAUUUUAUGAAAAAAGUAAUGAAUUUCACAAUUAUUCUGCAGUGCAUAAUUCUGUUGCGUGAGGUGGUGAAAUUCAUUUCAAGCGGUGAUACCCAUUUUGAAUUGGUUCCAUUGUUUAGAGAAGAGAAACAGUUAAUAGCUUAUUGUUUGAGCUCAAAUUGAAUCUGAAUACUCAAUAGUAAGCGUUACAUUGUUUUCUUCUCUAAAUCACUGCCAUUGUUAUCAAUCCGAAGAUUUGUGUCAUUUGUGUGUGCUGCAUCAUUUUGUGAAAAUGGCAAAUCGUUUCAAGCCAUCCAUACCAGCGAAGGGAGAAAUGAAGGAUGAGAUUACGACGAUCAAAUGUGCGCUGAAGACAAUCAUUCGCCCACAAUUCCAGCAAGCACUGAUGAGCAAAAUAACGGACCUGAGUUUGCAAGCCACUUCAAUUUGCGUUUUGGGCUCAUUGCUUUUCUUGUUCGAGGUGCAAAAGGCGUACGAACAUAGGCAUUGAGAAUAAUGAUUUCGCAUUCUUUGGUGAAAGUGGAGAAAAAAAGAUCCAACUCUGCUUUAACCAAGUGCUAUGGCAUAAAAAUCAGCCACCGAAACCGAAGUGGACGUACAGACCACGAGGAACAAGGCCACGAGGACCACGAGCAGAGCUGCCACGUAUCGACCCUGAAUUCAAAGCAAUCGUCGAAGGUCUUGACGACUACCAUCGUAUCGAUUGGCCCAACAAUGGCCUCAAGCAUUUGGCCAAUCAAUACACAGAAAACGUCGUCACCAAUUCAACAACGCAUCCUAACAAACACAUCACCCAGUACUUUAAACUGAAAGUGUUCGAAUUGAACACAGACGCAGAGAAAUUUUUGCCAAGUGACAUCGAAAUCGUUCUAAGACUGAUCAUCAAAGAAAAAAACAUCAGAGUGCCAAUUCACGAUCCAAACAAACUCGAACGGUGUGGCAUGUUGUAUGACAUGGUGAACGACCUGAAUGUGUUUCCAGAAAUCGAUCUGCAUGAUUCCACGACUGACGAAAAACAUUGGUUUAAGGCCAUGCCAAUGUUCCUAUCUAUACAACGCGAGAUAGAAGAGUACAAUUCGACGUGGCCACAUCAGGGCCGACCCAAACGAAUGAAAAGAAAGCGCAAAAAGUCAAAGAAGAAACGUAAGUGGUGCCCCAAGCGCAAACAAAUGCUCGACGAUCCAAACUUUCGGCCAUUCAUCCGGAAUUUAGCAGUGGUGUCGAUGUGUGAUUUUCGCCGAAAGCACUUCAAAAUUGACUAUUCGAGUAUGCACCAGGUGCUGUCUUCGCAAAAAUUGCUACCGAAAGUGGAAGUUGAGAAUAAAAACGGUAAAACCAGCAUGAUAAAUAUUCCACAAAGGGAUUUUAACGAUGCGAGUGAUCAUUGGUGGAAUCAGUAUUUCUACAUGCGGAAAAUUCGGCGAUUCGUGCGCGGAAAAAAGAAGUUUGACUUUUCCAUAAACACCGAUGGAAUCGCUGUGUCUCUGCAGUACUCGGCCAAGAAGAAGACAAAUAAGGAAGAAAUCGACCGUUCUCGUCGCAUCAUUCAAAUGAUUAUGGAUAGAAAAUUCAAAAAUUUUGCGGGCAUUGAUACAGGCGUGCGGAGUUGGAAUACCACAGUAACACACAACAUUAAAAGUGGAAACUCAGCAAUAGACUAGUGGUUAGCGUGCCAGGUUUGUGAGCAUGAGGACACGAGUUCGAUUCUCGGUCAAAUUUCGUCCGGUAUUUUUCCACCGUGAUUCGCUCAGGGAUUAUCAGUGGUUUAAUGAGGAGAAAUUUGAGCCGGGUCUCGGACUUGUGGAGUGCUUCGGAGAGCACUUAAAGCCGUCGGUCCCGUGUGUGUGCACAACGAAUAAUGGGUUCAGCAUAGACACACGUAAAAUGGAGUGCCUUUACGUUAGGUUGGUGUCUUGGAUAUGUCAAAUAUCCAAUACGUCAACCGUAAAAAGGUAGUGGUGAACUACUGGUGAAUAUACCGGUAAAUCAGUGGUGGUAGCAUUCCUACAUUGAAUAGAGGAACCCAGCGCCAUCUGGGGAAGCAAUGGUCUAGGCCCUGCCGAACAGCUAUGGUCACAGAAGGGCCCUGCCGAACAGCAAGGGCCGCUGAAGACCAUGCUGAACAGCAAGGGCGACUGUGCCGAACAGAUGGAACCCCGGCAGUCUAGUAGCAUCAUAACUCAAAACGGGCAUCUUGCAAUAGGUAAAUUAACCUGAGCAACGAGAAACUAUGGAUAUUACUGAAAAGUAGACCUAGUAUGCUCCCCGUACAAAUCCAAUAAUCCAAUAAUCCAAUAAUCCAAUAAAAGUGGAAAAGAAACCAACUUCGUAAUGUCGAGCAAGCAGUUUCACUGGCAGACAGGUCAGAAUGUGCGAAAUGCCAAAGCAAAGCGUUGGACCAAAAAGUUCAUCGAAGAGGAGCGCUGAGACAGACAAAAACCGUGAAACGUACCCGGUGAUGCCAUCGCCAAAAGGGUCACAUUGGCUGGACUACAUCAAGCACCGAGUCAAGAUGAUGAAGCAUGGAAUCUGCGCUUACUCGACUGCCAAGCACACUCGACUCGCCUUGGACAAACACAUCAAAAGCAGUAGUGUUGUCGACAAUUGGGUGGAAAAGGUUACCGAUAAGCAACCGACUUUGUUUUUUUUUGGUGCUGAUGGCGAAAUACCACCUGACAGCCCAAUAAGUAUCAAAAAGCACGUGCGCUGUCCAGGAGUUCGUAAGACUUUGAGGUCAAUAAAGAAGCGCCGAAAUUGUGUCAUAGAUCUGGUGGACGAAUGGGGAACAUCUCAAAGAUGUAUGUGCCGAUUUCAAAACCAGAACAAAGCGGCCAGAUUCAAGAGAUGCCGGUGCAUACCCGACGCUAGAACAUUGCUGCCAACAAAAAUUGUGUCAAAGUUGGGCAAGGCAGAUUUAUCGGUAUUCUAACAGUUGCAACGCGCCAUGAAUGAAGCAUCGGAAGAAGACGAGCCUUUAUUUUCAAAAGUAAAAAGUUACUAUAAAAACUGGCAAUUAAACCUCGAAUGCUCUGUGACUUGGCAUCGUGACGUCGUGGCUGCUAAGAACAUUCUGCUGAAAGGACUAUGGACAUUGCUGGGACUUCCGAUACCGGAGGCGAUCAAUAGAUAUUUGUACAAAGCCCGCGAAGCUGUCGCUGAGGCUGCCGAAGUAGCCGCUGCUGUCGCUGAAGCAGCCGCUGUUGCUGCCCCCAACGUGGAUAUUGAUGUAGAAAUGUUCGAGUAUGACCAGCAACCAGCUGAUCAUGCUGUCUAAUCAGCACAACGCAAACAAAAAAAAAUUAAAUGUAACAUUAGUUAUUAAGGCUAUCCCGAUCAUGUGGGAUAGUAGCGUAGCAAAAGGUUGACACCCCAUUUGGUUGAUGUUGACUGCGCAGGAGUACAAACGGAGUGUUUUUUCAUUAUAUGAGAAACACCCUACUAUACACACAGAAAAAUUUUUAUUAGCUACAUAUAAAUUUAGGAUUUAUACGAAAACUCGUGUAAAAUGUUCAUAUUUCAUAUAAACAGGGACUACCACGACAUAUUUAUAGUAUGAUAUUUAUUUAUAAUCAGUGUUUGCUUUAGAUGACAAUCUAUUUUUAGAUACUCAGAUAAGAUAGAUAAGAUGGUAUCUAAACAUCUCAUCUAGAUAGUUCAAAAUUUGACCAUCUAAUCUAAUAUCUAUCUAGAAAUAAUAACGAUAUCUAAACAUCUUUUCGUUAGAUCGCGAAAAGAUGAAAAUCAAAAUCGUAUGGAAGAAAGGAUAUUUUAACCUUCAUUUGAAUUGACAAAAGGUUCAAAAUCAAUAUGAAUGCAUAUAAAACGGCUAAUGUAAUAAACUGUAUUCGAAACAAAAAAUAUGUGCAAAUAAACAAUAUAUU